rnacentral:lncRNA from 1 species
GGAGACUGUUCGAUCACCAGGAGCACAAAGUUAUCAUUGUUGGGCUGGAUAAUGCAGGGAAAACUACCAUUCUUUACCAGUUUUCUAUGAAUGAGGUUGUACAUACAUCUCCUAUAAUAGGAAGUAAUGUAGAAGAGAUAGUGAUUAAUAAUACGCGUUUCCUAAUGUGGGAUAUUGGUGGCCAAGAAUCUUUUCGUUCUUCCUGGAACACUUACUAUACUAACACAGAGUUGAUAAUAGUUGUGGACAGUACAGACACAUGAUUUCUGUAACUAGAGAAGAACUCUAUAAAACGUUAGCGCAUGAGGACCUAAGGAAAGCUGGAUUGCU